rnacentral:rRNA from 1 species
UACGUAGGUAGCAAGCGUUAUUCGGAUUUACUGGGCGUAAAGGGUCCGCAGGGGGUCUGCCAAGUCCGGCGUGAAAGCCCACGGCUCAACUGUGGAACGGCGCUGGAAACUGGCGGACUAGAGUGCAUGAGGGGUGAGCAGAAUUCCUGGUGUAGCGGUGGAAUGCGCAGAUAUCAGGAGGAAUACCGAUGGCGAAGGCGGCUCACUGGCGUGCAACUGACCCUCAGGGACGAAAGCGUGGGGAGCAAACAGG